CAAAUUGCAAUUAAAAGCCCAAAAUCAGAUUUUAUUUGAUAAAUAAUGUCCAGAUGGGCCAAACAGGCAGUCUUUACCCUUGCACCUCCCAAAAUUCCCUACAUACACCUCUGGCCCAACACUAAGCCAAACAGUAACCCUAUUCUGAAUACACCUCCUAUGUUUCCUACACACACCCCUCCUACCACUAAAUAAACCAGAUCCAAUCAGAACAUGCCACCUCAUCUUCUUGCCACGUCAUCAUCUUCCACACUGAAACCCUAAUUUCCCUCUGCAAUGAAACCCUAGCUGUCAACCUCCGCAGCCGCCGCCGUCAACCUCAAGCGUCCUCGCCGUCAGCCACUACCGUCAACCUUCAUCACCCUCUUCAACAGAGACGUCACGACCACCAUUCACGACCAUCAACGCCACGAAACCCAGCUUCGCCACCAUCAAUCUCCACCGCGAGAUCCAAGAUCGCAUCACCUUCAUCUUCUUCGCGCUGCUACCACCCUUCCGCCUCAAAGCCACUCAUGCAUCAACCCCAACACCAGACGUUGCCAAACGCCUUCUCCAGACCACCAUCAAAGUCGCGCUGUCAUACCUCGCAGGUUUGUGCCUCUCCACACGCAGAAAUCGCCAACUUCCAUGGCCGUCGCGACUCCACCAUCUCCGCAGCACCGUCCUUGUCACCGGCUACCAUGGACGCCACGGUUUCUGCAUCAACAGUCGCGAGCAAGCCGCAAUCGCACACACCUGUAGAAUCACCAUCGUACCACCACGGUCUCACCAUUUCCAGCACCUGAAAUCAAAACCAGACCUGCAACAAACAACAAGAAACCAAAGAAUCCAGAUUCGUCUUUGACUCGCAAUCUCCAUAUCUCUCCAUGUUUCGAGCAAGCACAGCAUCACGAAUUUUUUCCCAAAUCUGCAGAGAAGACGCGCAGUGGCACAGACCCAAGCUUCCUUUUUCCCCAAUCUGAAACCCUAAUUUUGGGUAAGGAAGUGGGCGGACACGUGUCAAGAUCUUAGUGGUGCGUCAUCUUUUAGUCAAAACUGGUCAAACAAGACUUCUCUGGUCAAAGUUGGUCAAGCAGGGACUCUUAUGCAAUUUUAAAGAAUUCUAAAGGGGUUAAAGUGCAGAUAAAGGGAAUUUCAGGGCUUAUGUGAAAUUUUAGAAAAUCAGAAAAGCUAAAAGAUAAAAUUCAGUUGUUGAAUUAAUUUAAUUUGGGAAUAUCAACAGAAAAUAUCUUCCAAAUAAUGUUAUAAUUAUCUAAAUCUUUUAGUUAUUUGGAAGAUAUAAGAUAAAAGAUUUUAUCAACUGAAUGUUCACAAUCCAAGCCCAAUCAAGCCCUAUAUAAAGAGACCCAAGGGAGGCAGAAAGAGGGAGCUUCAUUCAUUCAUUCAUCCACCAGUGCUUUCACUUUUCUUUCAUUAUGUGUUUCUAAGCUCCUAGGGCUAUUCUGCUGUAAUUUCAUUAUGGAUUCUGAGGUUAAGUGAAUUAAUGCAAUUGUUUAUUUUGAUUAUUGAUUUAAGUUGAUCUCUCUCUAUGUCUUUCAUCUCUCUAUCAUAUUAAAAGCAAAGAUUUUUGCAUCAUUAUGUGUUUGAAUCUGCAUGCAUAUUAAUUAUAUGAGUUCUAGGGUUUCU
rnacentral:lncRNA from 1 species